AUUGAACGCUAGCGGCAUGCUUAACACAUGCAAGUCGAACGAGUGGCGGACGGGUGAGUAAUAUAUGGGAACGUGCCUAGUCGAGGGGGAUAACUACUCGAAACAGUGGCUAAUACCGCAUACCAUCGGAUGAGCCCAUAUGGGAUUAGCUAGUAGGUGGGGUAAGGGCUCACCUAGGCGACGAUCCCUAGCUGGUCUGAGAGGAUGAUCAGCCACACUGGGACUGAGACACGGCCCAGACUCCUACGGGAGGCAGCAGUGGGGAAUAUUGCACAAUGGGCGCAAGCCUGAUGCAGCCAUGCCGCGUGUAUGAAGAAGGCCCUAGGGUUGUAAAGUACUGUCAGUCGGGAGGCGUUACCGACAGAAGAAGCACCGGCUAACUCCGUGCCAGCAGCCGCGGUAAUAC
rnacentral:rRNA from 1 species